AACUUUUAACAACGGAUCUCUUGGCUCUCCCAUCGAUGAGGAACGCAGCGAAAUGCGAUAAGUAAUGUGAAUUGCAGAAUUCAGUGAAUCAUCGAAUCUUUGAACGCACCUUGCGCCCUUUGGUAUUCCGAAGGGCAUGCCUGUUUGAGUGUCAUUAAAUUCUCAACCUUGCAAGCUUUUUUGCUUUGUGAGGCUUUGAUGUGAGGGUUUUUGCUGGCUUCCUUCAGUUGGAUGGUCUGCCCCCCUUAAAUUCCUUUGGUGGAACCCUUGGUGAAGGUCAAUUGGUUUGAAAAUUAUCUACGCCCCCCGACUCUGAAACAAAAAUUGUUGGAACCUGCUUAAAAACGGCCCUUUGGAGACAAACUUUUGCAAAUUGACCCCAAAACAAGGAGGACCUCCCCCCGAACCUUAGCAUAUCAAUAAGCGGAGGCU
rnacentral:misc_RNA from 1 species